rnacentral:rRNA from 1 species
GACGAACGCUGGCGGCGUGCCUAAUACAUGCAAGUCGAGCGAGCUUGCCUAGAUGAUUUUAGUGCUUGCACUAAAUGAAACUAGAUACAAGCGAGCGGCGGACGGGUGAGUAACACGUGGGUAACCUGCCCAAGAGACUGGGAUAACACCUGGAAACAGAUGCUAAUACCGGAUAACAACACUAGACGCAUGUCUAGAGUUUGAAAGAUGGUUCUGCUAUCACUCUUGGAUGGACCUGCGGUGCAUUAGCUAGUUGGUAAGGUAACGGCUUACCAAGGCAAUGAUGCAUAGCCGAGUUGAGAGACUGAUCGGCCACAUUGGGACUGAGACACGGCCCAAACUCCUACGGGAGGCAGCAGUAGGGAAUCUUCCACAAUGGACGAAAGUCUGAUGGAGCAACGCCGCGUGAGUGAAGAAGGUUUUCGGAUUGUAAACUUCUGUUAUAAAGGAAGAACGGCGGCUACAGGAAAUGGUAGCCGAGUGAC